GGAUGUUCUUGGCUCAGCAUACAGUAUCACCACAUAUGGAAAACAUAAAUGGUCACAAAAGCUUCUUGAUUUAAAAGGAACUGAGCACCCUUGACUCUCACUGAUGGCAAGGCGUGAAGCACCCUUGAAAAUCAGAGUACUGGAUGAUGUAUAAGCACGGGAAUGAAAACACGCUGGAGCCAUGGCAUGUUGAUCUCAUCUGUGUUGCUGAGGUCACCAGGGCAGAUCUACAAAAGGAGGUUUGCUUCUGGCAGUUCAGAAAUAUCCCUCUAAAAUACAUCCUUGGUUGUGACAAAUGUCA